GUGUGUGAGAGAGAGAGAGAGAGAGAGAGAGAGCCUGGGCUUUUGCACCGGUUUGCUGGCCUGCGCUACGGAUGUGUGAUGCUGUAGUGGUCAGUAUCGGUCCUCCAUGGCGGAUUUAACUCUCAUGCUCAGCCUUGAGAUGGAGACAUGACCGGAGAAACAAGAGGAAAGGACCGCGAUCUCUUCCUUAGAGACGGGCUUUAGCCAGGUUGAGGAGGAGCAGAAGGAGGACGAGCUCUUCCCGGCACUCUCAGGUUGCAGCUGCAGGUUUAAACGGACCGCAUGCUCAGCGCUGGCAGUCUCACUAUGAGAGUCUCCUGAUUCGGAUCCAAGCAAAUUUCUGCAGAGCGUCUGCACUGGGCGGCUUGCGUCUUGAAUCCACAGUUCGGCGGUAGCGGGGCGCUUUCGGUGCGCCACUGAGUUUGGUGAAGGUGAUGGAGAAGCCGGCCCAAGCCCAGCUGCAGUCAGGUGCAGCCAAAAGCUCGGAAAGCUGUACCGAGGAUUUAUCCAAAGUCACGGACCAGGAUCUCCUGAAGUGGAGUAAAGAUGAGCUGGUGCGGCGGCUGCGCAAAGCCGAGGCCGAAAAGAUGAGCGCCAUAGUGGAACACGGAAACCUGAUCCGAGAGGUGAACCGCAGGCUCCAGCAGCACCUGAAUGAGAUCCGAGGACUGAAGGAGGUGAAUCAGAAACUGCAAGAGGAUAACCAGGAGUUGCGUGACCUUUGCUGCUUCUUGGACGAUGACCGGCAGAAGGGGAAAAAAGUGUCAAGGGAGUGGCAACGCCUUGGCCGCUACAGUGCAAGCAUUAUGCGUAAAGAGGUGACCCUAUACCUGCAAAAGCUGAAGGAGCUGGAGCAGAGGCAGGAGGAGGUGCUGAAAGAAAACCUAGAGCUGAGGGAGCUGUGUCUCAUGCUGGAUGAAGAAAAGGGCUCUGGAAGCACAGGAGUCUCACUGAGCACUGGAGGUCCAGCAGGCUGCAGGAACUCUAUCGACAGCCAGAGUAGUCUGUCACAUGCCAGCGUGCCCGGGCCAGGGCUGCUGAGGGACGUUGGGGAUGGGAGCAGCACUUCUAGUGCAGGCAGCACCGACAGCCCUGAUCACCUGACACACAAGCAGCAGCUGCUGGCUGGCCCAGCCGGAGGCAGUCUUGAGCAUGUCCACAAGCCCCGGGCAAUGGAGGAGAUGCCAGUUCCAGAGCACCUCAGCCGCAGAAGGAGCACAAGUCCGGAGUAUGCUGCCCAUACCUUUCCUCAAGUGUGCCGUCCUCGCUGUGGCUCAUUCUCUAGUCCUGACCACAAGGGCAUGCGAGGUCUCAGCCCUGAAAAGCUUGGGAAAAGAGGCAGUCCAGAGCAGUUUUCAAAGCACUUGCCAGUGUCUUCUCAACCUCCUGGUAGCCCUGAUCUCUUUCAGAAGCACAGGACAAGCAUCGGGAGUCUAUGUGGUAGUCCAGAGCCUAAACAGAUACUGUCAGGCACUCCUGAACAUCUGCAGAAGGGUCGUGUGAUUGCAGGAAGCCCUGAGAUGCUAAGGCACCAGUACAGUGGCAGUCCAGAUCAUGGCAAAUUAGGAAGCCCUGGGAGAGAUGUGGCACAAAGGAGGUCAGGAGCAGAGGAGCUGUCCCCUCAUCACCGGAGCAUCUACAGUGGUAUGAAUGGUGGGUCUGACUGGAGCCUGCUGUAGCAUCCACACAUGGAGGCCCGUUUCAGUACACUACAUGCUCACCAUGGAGGGAAUCAGUUUCAAAAUAUAAUGCCCUAUAGCCAGGCGUUAAGUCAUCUUAUACAUUAUGCAAUGGUCUGCAUUUAGUUUUUGCAUUUAGUUUUGCUCACUCAGCUCACACGGGGGCCUUGUGGAGGUAGAGCAGGGCUGGUAAAGGUCGGUGGUGUCCAGUCAUGGUUCUCAAGGGCCAUGAUUUGAACAGGCUUUAGCUGCUACCUGUGCUAAUAUUUCUUGGAAGCCUUUUAUGCACUGGAGCUCAACUGAGGGAACAAUUAUACACCAUAAAGUACAGAGGCACAACAAAAACCUGAGGACAAUACAACCCAGCAGGACCAGGAGUGGACACCACUGUUUUUGCCAUAUGUUUCCAGCUCUGCUGUCUGCUGGCUGCUGCACCACCUCCUGUAGAAGUGUCAAGCUUUGGGACAGCUUUGAUGCCUCCUGACCGUUGCCUUGACUGGAUCCAGUGCUGGGUUCCUGGCUUACAGGAGUCCAGAUCUCUGCUGUGUUUUGCACUGGGAGAGAGAGAGAGAGAGUGCACAAUAUUGUGCAGCAGCCAGUGUCUUGUGUCUUUUCCACCCCAUGCUGGUUUCAGGUGUCCAGUUUCCCCUGUUAGAGCUCUGCACAACAACAACAACAACAGCCAGAAAAAGGGAAAAUGGGUUUUAUUAGGAGGGAGAAGGCUAGAACCCCCUAAAAAGAAUUAUGUAAUGGGAGAUGCUCCGUAUGUUGCCAACAAAGUAGACCUACCUCCAUGAAAUGAAAGCAGAUGAAAAUGAGGAUAAACUCAAAUGGGAUACAGAAACCUUUCCUGUUUACAGAUGCCAUACACAACUUCAUAUGAACAGUAAAGAAGUAUUUCUAAUUGGCUCCACUAUGUAAAUUGAAUUGGACUUGCUGCGUGUCACAGGAAAUUAAAAACAAAAGUAUUAUCAUAGCAAUCACUGCCUUGCUUCUGUUAAGAGCUUUGUGGCAGCCAUACGUUCAUUAUUACAACAAUACAAGUCGCAUUUAUAAAAGUGGAGAUGGUACGAAACAUUGCUCUUAUCUGUCAUCAACCAGUGACUGCUGAUGAACCAUGUGGUAGGUGAAGUGCGCAACAAAUAUGAUGAUUUUUUUUUUUGGAAGCACAAAGCCAACCUUAAAAUACUCCCUCCUCUCUCAGUCAAUAUAAACAGACCAUUCCAGAGGGGUGAAUAUUUCAGAUAUAGCAAACAUUCUCAAAAAUAAAAACAAAAAAACAGAAAGAAAGAAACAAACAACAACAAAAAAAAAUACAGUCUCCCACUCUUCCCAUACUAAGUACCAUCAUGCCUUGCUUCUGCCCAGGUGUUUCUGUGAAUUUCUGCUCUGAUAGACAAUAGAACAAAUGCACACACAUAAACAUACAUAUAAACACACAAAAACAUAUGCACAUUAUAUUUUAUAUGGGAAUAAUGCUUCAUGUGGGAGAACUGGACAGCACACAGUUGUAUACUUACGUAAGUGAUUUUUGGUAGCCCUUUAUUUAUUAGGCCUAGAUCACAAGUCCUGUGUGCCAACCAUUGAUCCUUCAGUAUAAAUCAGUAUUACAUACAGUACAAGCUACUUUGUAACCUCUUUGACCUGUGAUCUUUUUUAUUUUUGUUGACAAAUUAUAUGAGACAGAAACGAUAUUAAUAUAUAAAACUUUUAUGUUUUUAAAAAGUAAAGAGUAGUUUAUCUGCUUAGUUUUUUAAAUAUGAUGAUUAUUAUUUUUGACGUACUGGUAUUAUAUAAAUAUAUAUGGUUAUUAUACUGAGAGAUCUGUAUG